CUGUCGCCGGACCAGAUCUGCGCAUUGGCUGAUUACAUCAUCCAGGAAGCGGCCGAUUCAUCAGGGCAGUACGGUGCCCCGCCCAUUGCCACACCCAAUGCCUCGCCCAUUGCCACACCCAGUGCCCCACCCAGUGCCUCACCCAGUGCCCCACCCAGUGCCCCACCCAGUGCCACACCCAGUGCCUCACCCGAUGCAGAUGAAGGUCUGACGGAACUGGCCUCUAACACCAUCAAAGCCCGGCUCUCCUUGCUCUUGACCAGUUUCCAUGGCAACAAGGGCGUGGCCGAGCACCUUAUCAGAUACCUUGGCGACUGUAGUCGCGAGACAAACCCGUCCUCUGCCCUAUACCAGCAGUUAUUACUAGAGCUAUACCUGCAGGUCCCUGAGACUAUACAGAAUCUCUCCUUCAUCAGUACCAAGCUACAAUCACAAGACACUAGUAAUAUACCCACCCCAGUCGACUGCCUCACACACAGGUUACUGUGUGUGUUAGCAGACAGCAAACCAGGAGAUACCAGCAAGCAGAAGGCCGAUGAUGCCAACGUAGCCUGCCGCAAGCUGGCAGCAGAACACCCUGUACUCAUACUCAGG